rnacentral:rRNA from 1 species
CAGUAACCACGGUAAUACAGAGGGUGCAAGCGUUAAUCGGAAUUACUGGGCGUAAAGCGCGCGUAGGUGGUUUGUUAAGUUGGAUGUGAAAUCCCCGGGCUCAACCUGGGAACUGCAUCCAAAACUGGCAAGCUAGAGUAUGGUAGAGGGUGGUGGAAUUUCCUGUGUAGCGGUGAAAUGCGUAGAUAUAGGAAGGAACACCAGUGGCGAAGGCGACCACCUGGACUGAUACUGACACUGAGGUGCGAAAGCGUGGGGAGCAAACAGGAUUAGAUACCCCAGUAGUCCCUGUCUCUUAUAC